UUUUUUUUUUCUUCCGCCUAAUUUUUUUCCUUCGCUGUUUUUUUGUUUCACAAGAUGUCGCUUAGAUUUUUGGAAUAUGAUAUCGAACAGUUUAUACGCUUUUGAGACCAACUCUGCUUAACCGAAUACUUUCCCAAAUAAGAGUUAUCACCCCGAACAUUGUUUUCCUUGUUAUCUCUAAGGCUUCGCAACCGUAUAAGAAACCGAUGAAUUUAUUUUUCCAAAUAGCUCGUUAUAUCCUGAGGAUGUUCUGUUUUAUUUUGACCGAAGCCGUAUAUAGAUUCCAUAUGAGAGGUAUCCCCCCUUUUAUGUUUAAUAUAAGAAUAUGCAUUUCUAAUUGGUAAACCAUAAGUGAUAGAGACCUAGGGUCUUUUGAUUUGAGAUCCUUGGUUCAAAAAAAUGUAAAUAAGGUCAAGGUCAAAGGUCAAGGUCAUAUUAUAAAUUUUGAUUUUGGCUUAAUUUCACUUAUUUUCAAAAGCCGUAUAACUUAUCGACAAAUUAUUUUUACUAAAUUGUUAGUUGCGACAUGUCGUAACACGUAAAUUUUAGUCGAAAGAGUACGUAGACAUUUGAUGUCAGUUUUGACCGCUUUUAUAUCUAAUAUUUGUUGUAAGGUAAUACAACUCAUUAACAAUAUAUUGUAGAGGCCUAGAGUCUUUUGAUUUGAGGUCCUUGGUUGAUGACCUCAAAAUUGAGCUCAAGGUCAUAGGUAAAUGUAACGUUCUAGAUUUUGACCUUUGCUUUUACCUCAUAUGUAUACAUGUUUAAGACAUGGGACUUUUUAAAUUAGGUUGCAAGCAAUGUGAUCUAGAAAAAGACAACCGGAAGUAGCUAUAUUUUAUACUUAAUUAAUGAAAAAGUAUAUAGAACCAUAUAUUUUUGGAAUCAGUGCUAAGUAAACAAUAAAAAAUUACCGGAAGUAACAUAUUUUAAACCGGAAG
rnacentral:lncRNA from 1 species